rnacentral:snRNA from 1 species
GGAUGCGAGGGCAAUCUGGCUGUGACAUCUGUGGCCCCACUGAUCACUAGGGUCGAUUUGGCUGAUCUGGCUGACUAGGCGGGUGUCCCCUGCCUUCCUCACGGCUCCACGUGCAUCCCUCCUGAAGCUGCAUGCUCAAAGAGGAUGACAUUCCUCCAACAAAGGAUGCGACUAUUCUUCGGUCAAGGGUAUAUCAAUAGCUGUGCUUCCCAGCUAAAACCUCCAGAUGGACUCUCGGGAUAGACCCAGUGAUUUCUACCUGUGUGACUCAGAGGCAGAGCAAGACCGUUUUCAUAUGUAAGACUGGCACAGCAACCAUAUCU